rnacentral:tRNA from 1 species
AGAAGUCUAGUUAAAUUAUAACAUUAGUAUGUCAAGCUAAAAUUACAUAUAGUGUCUUCUA